CGUUUUUUCAUUAAUGCAAAUGUACUUAUUACUUUAUUAAAAUUUAUUGUUUGAGCUAUGUUGCUUUCUAUGCCUAAUAUUACCAAAUUUGAUAGCCGGUCUUCAGUCGUAGUUGAGUGAAGAUCUGUCUUGAGAAGUUUAAGCCUGCCAAACAUUUUUUGCCGGACACAUUUUCUUCAAAAACAUAAUCAUUAUUAUUAAAACCUGGUUGACAAGGCCCUAUUUCAACAAGUGUUCUGAUUAUUUGAGGUGUUAAUACAGUAUUAAUAAAUAAAUAUGGAUCUGAUGGAUAAUUAUGGCAUCUAUCAAUUAAUUUCGAGUAUGAAACAUAAUCUUGGGCAAGUUCAAUUUGUUUGUCUGUACCAAGAGUUGGUAAAGUAGGUGGAUUAUCUUCCUCUUCACUACAAUUAUAUAAUAAUGAUCGUUCUUGAGUGAUGUUUGAUUUUAAGAAUGACAGUAUACUUCGAUUGCCUUUAACUGUUUUUUUUCUUUAACUAAUCGCCUUGCUCCACCAGAUAAUAAUACCACUAAUAAUACGAUAAGAAAAUCUUUUAAUAGCAAAGGUAUAUAUUAGGUAUACAAAUAUAUUAUACUAGCUGAAUUACCCGGCGUUGCCCGGAAACAAAUUCGUGACAAAUUAGAUAACGCCAUGUAUUACCNU